UUUGUGUGUGGCACGAGUCGCUUCAGUUUCGUUUAGGAUAUCGAACACAACGGUUUGGCCCACGGACCAGAGACCCCUCCACUUGACUCCACCCCGACACUCGUUGCGACUGGACUCUCGACUGCCGACUCGACUUCCGACUCUGACUCCGACACGAUUCGAUUCGAUUGGACCCUCGACCAGAGGCAACAUCAGAGUGUGCCACUUAUUCGGUCUUUGGCCAGCCAGCGCAUCGAACACGCGUUGCAUUUCGCAUUCAUUCGGUGUCUCCGUGCCUCACGUGCUUGCCACACGGUGCUUGCUCGGUGUCUCGGUGUUGCUGUCGUCGCGUUCCCGCGUUUGUUGCCCCUCCCCCCCAUCCCCCCCCGCGUGUGCUGGGGCACCACCGCCGAUUGUUGCUCCGUUUUUUGUUAAGUGCCAAAACAAUCAAAAUACAAAUAUCAAAAAGUGCUAAGAAAGUGACUGCCAGGACUGCAAGGACUGUGCUAAAGUGUGUGGCAUACUAUGAUGGGCCUGCCCCAAUAAGUGGCAUAAGCGUGCGCCAGAGUGCCAGAGUGCGAGAGUGUGGCAGUGGAAGUCUCUCCAUUAAAACUCUAUCGCUGGCGAAAAAUUCAAAAAACUCAAACCACGCCCACCCGCCGCACCGAAAGGGGGGAAAGCGGGAUAAAAAAGGCGCCAAGUAGCAGGUCUUUCGGGCGAGCGACAAGCCCUGGAAAAAACUCGGGAAAAAACUGCAAAAAAAAACAAACUUAAAGUUCGGGUAAGUCUCUGAAGGAGCGGCUGGGCCGUGGCGCUGUGGUGCUGUGGCGCCUCCUUUUGUGGCCCGUAGCUCGAUAAUGAAGUUGAAUGUGUUGACAAGUUUAUUUGCUUAAUUUUUGCCCGGCACGCCAUUUUUGAGUUGCCAGCGACUGUCGCGGGGGCCGCCAGAAAGAGGCCGCCGGGAGUGGCCGCCAACGC